rnacentral:tRNA from 1 species
UCCGUUGUGGUCAAGUAGUAAAAUUUACGGCUCUCACCCGUCAGGCCCGGGUUCGAUUUCCUGCAACGGAA